UAAAAUUUUACAAGUUAAUAGAUUUUUAAAAGUUAAGAAGAUUUGAUGAAUUGAUACCAAAUAUUUUGUAUAAAUUAUGAUUGAUUGUUAUUGAUUAUCAUAGAUUUCCAUAUAUAACUUUUCUACAAAACUCUCCUUCUAUAAUAAUAUAUACAUGUUUUCUAAAAAAUAAAACUUUUUCAUGGAAAAUAAUUAUGUGAUAUUAAAAUAUAUUUUUGGCUUUUUUAAUAAUGAUUGUUUUAACACUUUUUUUUUCUUGACUUGCUUGAUUUUUGGUUUAAGUUUUCUAUGACCUUUGUUUAUAUUCUUAUUUAUAUAAAAUUAUGAAUUUUCUCAUAAUGUUAUCUCUAAUGAUUUUGUUACAACUUUUUUAUCAUUCUCCUAACAAUAAAAAUGAUUUUGUUACAAUUUUUUAUCAUUUUCUUAACACACAUUCUCUUAACAAUACAAAAUUUGUGUGUUUGUAUGUGUUUUUUUUACAUAUAUUUUAAGAAUCUUAUAAGUAUACAUGUUAUUUCUAAAGUUGAAUCUUUUGUGUAAAACUAAAGAGAUUUGUGUCCCAGUAACAAACUUUUUUUAAUAAAAUUACAAAAUCAGUGAAAACUAAACUUUUUGAAUAACAAUGGAUUUUACGUGGAAUUUAAAAGUCCAUAAACCAAUAACAAUGGAUUCUAAGAAAAUUUGUAAAAUCUAUAAACCAAUUAAGAGGGAAUCUCUAAAAUUUUAAAAUCAUUAAUUCAGUCGCCAAUAACCGCCCCUUAAAUACAGUAUUUUUUUGUGAUAACCCAUAAGUCAAAUCAAAAACAUGUCUACGAUAAACGGCGCCCGAUAUUCUCUCCACACUAACAUGUCCACGGUAAUAUGUCAUUGGCAAUCUGUAGUACCGUCCUAAAAUUUGAUGUGGCCUAAAGCACAAUAAAAAUUAUAUGGUCUUUUACAUAAAUACAAAUGGAAAAUAAUAAUACAAACAACACAAAAAUGCUUAAAACCAUUGAAUAUGGCUGAAUCUGUAAUAAAAAUAUGGCCCUAAAAUUUGCUAUAUAUCUUGUGGCCUAAAGCAUGUGCUUUACUUGCCUUAUAACAACGACGGCCUUGGCAAUCUGUCCGCGAUACCUUACACAGAAUUUUUUCAAAAAAAGAUAACUUACACAGAAUACCACGUCCACACAUGUUUAAUCAGAACUCAUAUAAUGUUUUUUUUUCCCUCAAAACUUAAUCAUAUAAUGUCGUGUCGCUAAAAAGGGUGAGAUAUGCAACAAAAACAAAUUCAGGCUUAAGAAAGUAAACAUUCUACUCAUGGUAGAAAAGGAUUCAACCUAAAGAAGUACAUGUCCUUCAGUAGGAAUGGAGUGUUGUGGUACGUUUUCCUAUAGACCCUCGACAAUACCUAUUUAGAUAUUUUCUUCAACAUUCCUAAUUAAUUUCUAAAGAGAAUUACCUAGACACCUAUAUUAUCCGUCACCUCACCCGAGCAAAGAUUCCAUUUGAGCGGAUUGAAUGUCAGUGUACACAAAGAAAAUAAGCUCUUGCUUUUUUUCCCAUACUCAUCGAGGAUAACAGAUCCAGAGGUGAAGUGUUUUCUUUGGCCGAUCUAAUUUUGUGUGUGAGCUUUGAUGUUGACAUACGAUUUUGACGAGUGCGGCUUUUCGAUUCACGAAAGAUAUCAUUCUUCGCAUCAUAAAGUGAUCUCACCUUAGAUCUACAAUUUGAAGAAUCACAGUAGUAAAAAAUGGAAAAUGACUAAAUUUGUACAAAGAAUGUCAUAAAUUUUCUAGCUAUCGAACAAACCGUGAGAGAGAAAAAAGAAAGAGAAGAUAUCUUACAAUACUAAAAGGGAGAUAUCUAGAGUUCUUAAGGUGUCCACGUAAGCAUGAAAAUUCAAGCCAAUCAUAAGUCAAGAAUGUGCUAUGUCAUCUAUGCUAAAUUCACUUACUGGACGACCAUCUAACCUAACGUAACUGCGACUUCAUUACUCUAUCUUCAUCCUAUUAAUCCUUUCAUCAAUGCUCAACCAUACUCCAAGGAAGUCAAAUCGAUCCAAGUUCCAUCCAUCUUAAUAACAUCCUCCAACCCAACUAAACCCAUAAAACUCUCACUCUCUCUUCAUCCACUCUUCCUCCAACAUAAUUGUGGUUUGUGUUUCUCUGAUUCCUUAGAUCUUCCACCUAAGCUCCUCUCAUACGUUUGUCAUCUUCGGCUGAAACGUACGUUAAGAUUCGAUCUUCUCAGGUAAUCUUCUCUCCUGAUGUUCAUGAUCACUUCGAGUGCAUAAUAUUUGUCUAACAACGAUGAUAUAUUUUUCAACUUCCAAAUUUUGCAUUUAAUCUAAUAACCUAUUAAUCGAAGGGAAGCCUUUGUUACCAAAGGGCAAGAAACAAUAGUAAGAACCAUAGGAGAAGUCGUGUGGAUUGGGUCGAUUUCUUCAUAAGAAGUUUCUAUAGGUCCGUGAAAACCAAUUUGCUGCAGCAUGUUAAUGUCUUUAAGGAUGUGAGACGUCCCAAUGAAGACACUAAAGUUUUCUUUUUUCUUUUAUUUUUUUUCUUCUUUUGUAUCUUUAAGUUAAUCAAUAUCUUCUUUUUUUUAUAUACAGACAGUUUGCUUCCAGUCCUUGCUAAGAACUAUUCUAAGGUUGUUGUUAUAUACAUUUUUCAAAAGUUCUUACAUACAUAAAAUAAAUAAAGAGGCCACAAUGCUUUACCGGAAAGACGAUGGACAGGUAACUCAAAUUCUCUUAUUAUUAUUUUUGAUAUCUUAAGCAUCUGGCCCUUUAAUUUGUGGCUUAUAUGAGUUGGCUUUCAACUUAUAUGUACAAGUUAAUAGUGAUGAACUUUUGAUGAUGUUUCGCGAGCUGUACUUUGUCUUUGAGUACAUGCAAUACUUUUUCCUGCUUACAGUUUUGAUAUUUCCUGACACUAAUUCUUAUAACUGAAUCUGCGCAUGUCAUUCUUAUUUGAUCAGGACUUUGGCUAAAUAUUUUAACUGAAGCUGAUAUCAGAAAUUGGUACUUUCAAGUCUUACAAGGCAAUUCUUACAUGCAUCAACGUGGUUACCUCCAACGCAAUCUUAAGCCAGGUGAUUAAUAGCCUUGAGGCGUCAAAUGAUACAAAGCUUCAAACACCUGCUAUGAUGAUUGAUGACAACUUAGAUUUUAAUCUAUUUGUCUCUGACAGUCAAGGGAGGUUAAUUCGAGUCCACAUUAAUAGAGUAUGUUAUUGGCAGGGGAGGUUAAUUCGAGGCCGCAUUUAUAGAGUAUGUUGUUAUAGAUAGUACAAAUUUGAUUCCCUUUUUGUGCUGCAACCAGUCUUUCAGAUUACCAAUAUUACUGUAUAUGUCCUUCAGUGACCCAUAUGUCGAUUGGUUACCAUACCAUUGAUGCCUAACUGACCCCAAAAGCUUUGUUCUAAUAGGUAGAGGGCACCAGAAGUACUUCUACAGUCCUAUGUAUACACAGAAAAAAUUGGUUCGUAUGAUCUUAUCAAUAUCGUAGUAAACCAUUGGGUGCAUUCAUUCUCGGAUACCAAUCUUUACCUUUUUCAUGAUAGUCUAGCGGCUCUGCUCUUGGAUCCAUGGAACAGAGCGACUACUGCAGAGGCUUCGUCCAGGAUACCAGUGGGAUUUGGUGUUGUAGUCGGAUUUUCGUAUGAGCUGAAGCAGAGUGAUAUGUGGCCACAAGAUAUUCUUAUAUAUCUGGAAAACUAACUUGGUCGCGCCGAGGAAAAUUGAGAUCAAGAGAGAAAAUGAAAAGACAUGUGAAUGUAAAUCGAAGCAUCAUCUUUGAUUUUUCAGAAUAGAAAGCUAUCUCUCACGAAUCCCUCCAAGAGUCUCAUUUCUCCACUGAAACAACAUUCUGGUUGUUCGUUUUUCUUGUGUUGUUUGUUCUUCUGGAUGAAGAAUGGAGCUUAAUCAAAGUGUUGUGAUGCGUA